rnacentral:tRNA from 1 species
GUAUUGGUGAUUCAGUGGUAGAAUUCUCGCCUUCCAUGUGGGAGGCCUGGGUUUGAUUCCCGGCCAACGUA